rnacentral:misc_RNA from 1 species
GACCUUGUUUCCCUCCCUAUAGCUACAUUCCGGUCUUGUAAUCAUCUAGCAAGAAACUGAUAAGAACAAUAGGCCAUCAGUGUGUUAAUCCAGGAUAACUGAUCCCAUCACACACUAACUGGUGCAUCACUUCACAGAGAACACGGUACUGCAGCAGGAUCAAGCUCCCAGCAGCCUCUCAAAACCCCUCCUUUUUCUCCAGUCAGCUGAAAUGCAGGUAUCUGAUGAGAGAAUCUCCAGAACUCAUCUUUUUGUAUUUCCAAAGUAACAGAAUUCGAUGUUUGCUGUUUAAAGACAGACUUUAAACCAUCCACACGAACCAGGGACGAAACUUUUAUCCACUCUUUUGAAUACUCAAUGACCUCCACUAUAUCGUACUCAAACUUGUCUGGAUCCAAACCUGAUUUUCUCAAGCUCUUGUACAGUGCCCAAAUCUCUCCUUCUCUUGGAUAGAUUUCAAACCUGUUCUUAGUAGAGAUUGCUUUCACCACAUGGGAGAAUGAGCUAGAAUCAUAGGCUUGAUGUUUUUCAUUCUGGACUUUGAACGUUCCACAAACUGACUGAGCAGCAUUUUUAGGCCCUGCACAUGAUUCAAGGAGGACUACAUGCAAUUUGAAUGGGGCAGGAACUAUCUUCUUAACCAGUGCAUAAGUAUUUGGCAAUGUACUAUGGGCUUGAUGUUUUUCAUUCUGGACUUUGAACGUUCCACAAACUGACUGAGCAGCAUUUUUAGGCCCUGCACAUGAUUCAAGGAGGACUACAUGCAAUUUGAAUGGGGCAGGAACUAUCUUCUUAACCAGUGCAUAAGUAUUUGGCAAUGUACUAUG